CGCAAGCCUGACGGAGCAACGCCGCGUGAGGGAUGAAGGCCUCUGGGCUGUAAACCUCUUUUAUCAAGGAAGAAGAACUGACGGUACUUGAUGAAUAAGCCACGGCUAAUUCCGUGCCAGCAGCCGCGGUAAUACGGGAGUGGCAAGCGUUAUCCGGAAUUAUUGGGCGUAAAGCGUCCGCAGGCGGUUUUACAAGUCUGUCGUUAAAGCGUGGAGCUCAACUCCAUUUCAGCGAUGGAAACUGUAAGACUCGAGUGUGGUAGGGGCAGAGGGAAUUCCCGGUGUAGCGGUGAAAUGCGUAGAUAUCGGGAAGAACACCAGUGGCGAAAGCGCUCUGCUGGGCCAUAGCUGACGCUCAUGGACGAAAGCCAGGGGAGCGGAAG
rnacentral:rRNA from 1 species